CCUUAUGGCUGCAUGUUUUGAUGCCGUUCAGUACUCUUACAUAAAGAACUCGUUAAAAAGUUCACAAGGAGCCUUUCAUGUCAUGAUCUGUACAAUGCAGAUGGGAAGCCAAAGCUGUACUACUGACAAGACAGCUGUUAGACCCUCUCUACCUGUGUCACAGUGUCAAGUUACGUGCAGUGUCUGUCAGUUCACUUCUGCUUUUUUGCUGCUGCCUCACACAGAAACUAUUUCAUACACAGCCACAUCAAGGGAACAGGUGAGUUUCCCCAAGCCACAAUCUUUGAUAUAUUUACAGUCACUUUGUUCUCAAAAAAUGUUUCAUAUAUUUUACUAAAGUUUCUCCAGCUUAAUUGGAUUUAAGUACAAAAACUGAAAAAAAUAUUAAGAAUAGUAUACUAAACACAUUACAUAAAG